AACCAAUAGGUGGUGUCCAAUAUAUUUUAAACGUGUUAUCCAAUUCGGUUCGAGAUCGGAUAAUCUCGGGUUUGGUAAUGGUAAGAUUUUUUUUUCUUUUUUGGUCAUGAGUAAAUUGCAUUGAAUCAUUCUUGGGUUCACUCCUAGGGUGAACCUCUAGGUUCACCAACCAAUAGGAUUUCAUUAUUUCAAAUUCGAUAUCUUUUAAAAAAGGAAACAAAAUAUUUUCAAAUUAUAUUAUGUUUUUAAAAUAAAAAAAGAUAAUAGUUACAGAAAAAAGAAUUAAAAAAAAAUAUUUUUAAUGUUCUCAACAAAAUACUAAACCCUAAAUCCUAAUCCCUAAACCCUAAAUCCUAAACCCUAAACCCUUGGAUAAACCCUAAACCAUUGGGUAAAUCCUAAACCCUUGGGUAAAUCCUAAACCCUUGGGUAAACUCUAAACCCUUGGGUAAACCCUAAACCCUUGGAUAAAUCCUAAACUCUAAAUAAAAAACACUAAAACCCUAAACGCUUGAAUGUUUUAGUGUAUAGUGAUUUUGAUUUAGAGUUUUGGAUUUAUCCUAGAGUUUAGGGUUUAUCCAAAGGUUUAGGGUUUAGGAUUAAGGGUUUAGGGAUUAGAAUUUAGGGUUUAGGGUUUAAUGUUAUGCUGACGACGUAAAAUAUUUUUUUUUGUAAUUAUUACUUUUUUUUUUACUUUUUAAUUUUAAAAAUAUAAUAUAAUUUGACAAUAUUUUGUUUCCUUUUUUAAAAGAUAUCGAAUAUAAAAUAAAAGAAUCCUAUUGGUUAGUGAACCUAGAGGUUCACCCUAGGGGGUGGACCUAAGAAUAAAUCAAUUGCAUUGCAUUGGCGUGUUAGAUAAGUUACUACUACUACUGUAGUUUAAUUUUCAAUUUAAAUUUUAAGAAAAUAUAUUUUGUUUCUUUUAAAAAAAAUUGUUUCU
rnacentral:lncRNA from 1 species